AUAUAUAUAUAUACACACUGAAAAUUAUUAACUUCUACUCUGUUCACAAGCCUACAGUUAGUAACAGGCUUGGUAACUGGGAUGAGUCUGAUGCAAAGGCUGUAAAUGACACCUGAGGACUUACAGAACCUGUAGUUUGUUCACAUGGCAUUUAAAGGGUAUUUCACUAAUUAUAGGGCCCAGGAACUUUUAAAAUAUAAGACUUACUUUUUAAUUUUUCCUUUUUUUUUUCUGCCUCUCUCUCUGUAUGAGGCAAUAAUCUGUUUUAUCAGGAGGAAAUGCUGCAUCUAUGAUCUGGCACAGUGCUUACAACAGAUUGACCUGUCAGUCGUGUGGCUUGGUCGUGGGCUUUAUUCUUUAUUCUGCCUCCAGGGAGCUGGCGUACCUGCGAGGCUUCUUCUCUUUCUUCAAGGACAGCAUCCUCUGUUACAUCUUGAAAUCCCAAAUGAUAGUAGAAGCUUCUAAUAUGAUUUUUCCUUCUGAGACCUUACGGGAACGACUGCAGAAAGUAAAGUUUCUACAUUAAUUUGUAUGGAAAAUAUUAAAAAGGAUUUUUUUUUAUACAUAUAAGUCCAAAAAUAUUGAUACAAUUACUUUUUAAGUGCACAAGAUGGAGGAAAUACUGACUUAUAACACAGUGACUGACUUAAAUGUGUAAGACAUGCAAAACAUUUUCUAGAACCACUUAUCUCCAAAACAUAUCCAGUUCUGUUUUCUUCCGAAGUGUGUUAUCCUUUUAUUCCUGUACUUUGAAAAGAAGUGUUUAAAUUGGAUGUUUUUCUGUAACUUGGUUAGUUGUUGUCUUAGUAAAUUGCCUGUCCCGUAGCUCAGAGUUACUGUGUGUAGGAGACAAGACAGUGUAUCCAGUAUUCACAUGUAUUUAGUAUUCACAUUAACUUGUUUCUUUUCAGCUUCUGUUCUAAGCAUGGAAAUGGGCCCAUGGCAUUUCUGAAGUUUUGCCCUCUUUAAAGUCAUCUUCCAGUGUCUGACUGUAAGAUCAGUGUUUUUAUAGGUCAAGAGAGGCUAAAAUGCAAAAAUCCUAUCCAGGAAAGACUUUUAAAGUUGAGACACUUUAUUCUGAAGUAAAACAAUAGUAGUACUUGAUUGCAAACACAGAUCGUGUAACUGUGGGGAGUUUGCUUGUUGAGUAGAACAAGAGCAAGAAUCUGGUCUUUGCUUUUUGAGACACAAUGUCAGCAGGAUUUUCCUCUUGUGCUUUUGAUGUGUUAACUUAAAACGGCAUUUUUGAAGGACUGUCCACCUGUUUUCCUAAGCUAAUGAUGAAACAGUCUGUCCUCAUAUUGUCAAAGAAUGUCUCUGGCUGUGUAAAAACAAGAGUUAGGGAAUAUUGGAUUGAUUGUGAAAAGGCUCCAGCAACCUGUCUCCUUGAGUAUUUCCUCAUCCCUGAAAGGGCUGUGCUGCCACACAUUAAUCUGUCUUCCUGUAGCACAGGCCUGAUUUGGGUGCCAGUUUUGGCUGUACUAGACAUGCAGUAUAGAGAUUAAAGCCCAGUGUAAUUUUCUGUCUUGAAAGUCAACUGCUCUUCAACCACUGCAGGUGGGGUACAGAUCAUUCAGAGACCCAGUGUUAGGAUGUUUCUCUGUAGACUUAAUACUCUUAGUUCUCUCUUUUUUUUCUAGCUGAAGGAGAAGCUUGUGGAGAGCCACACACGUGUAGAAUCACUGGUGAAGACCCUG